rnacentral:rRNA from 1 species
UACAGAGGUCUCAAGCGUUGUUCGGAUUCAUUGGGCGUGAAGGGUGCGUAGGCGGCGCGGUAAGUCGGGUGUGAAAUCUCGGAGCUUAACUCCGAAACUGCAUUCGAUACUGCCGUGCUUGAGGACUGGAGAGGAGACUGGAAUUUACGGUGUAGCGGUGAAAUGCGUAGAUAUCGUAUGGAAGACCAGUGGCGAAGGCGGGUCUCUGGACAGUUCCUGACGCUGAGGCACGAAGGUCAGGGGAGCAAACGGG